ACACGUAUGAAAGACAAGCUGAAAGACUUUUCUCAAUGAUGUAAGUGGUGGUGCAUGGUCGUUCUUAGUUCGUGGAGUGGUUUGUCUGGUUUAUUCCGAUAACGAGCGAGACCCCGGCGUUCCUAAUAGGGGUGGCAGCCCGGCUCGCGCUUCGGCGCUUGCUAGCACGCCACCUCGCAAUUGCUUCUUAGACGUAUCAGAGCCGAUAAGGUUCUUGAAAUGGGUUAAUAACAGGUCAGUCAUGCCCUUAGAUGUUCUGGGCCGCACGCGCGUUACAAUGGUAGGCUUAAACAGUGCCUUUUACGGGCGUUUCCGGGGCCGACGGGUCCCGGUAACCCCUAGUCUCUCCCUUGACUGGGCCAGACUAUUGCAAUUAUUGGUCUCAAACGAGGAAUUUUUAGUAAUCGCAGGUCAUUAACCUGCGAUG
rnacentral:rRNA from 1 species